UACGUAGGGUGCGAGCGUUGUCCGGAUUUAUUGGGCGUAAAGGGCUCGUAGGCGGCGUGUCGCGUCGGGAGUGAAAGCCCGCUGCUUAACGGCGGGUUGGCUUCCGGUACGGGCAUCACUGGAGCUCGGCAGGGGAGACUGGAAUUCCUGGUGUAGCGGUGAAAUGCGCAGAUAUCGUAAGGAAGACCAGUGGCGAAGGCGGGUCUCUGGACAGUUCCUGACGCUGAGGCACGAAGGCCAGGGGAGCAAACGGG
rnacentral:rRNA from 1 species